UCCCCAAUUCCCAACUCUUUCGAAUUAGGGUUAGAACGAAAGUCAUUCAUUUUCGUUAUAACCCUUCCUUCCUCUCAGCCAUCAUACCUCGACUGACGACCUGUGGUAGCCACGACUUACGGCGACUGACAGCGAUUCACGGCGACCGGCGACAAUUGUGAGCUUCAUCUAUGUCGGUUUGCAUUUUGUAAUCAAUAGCAACAAGGAGCCCAGGACUUAGAGCGGUGGCCGACGAUUUUGCAGUAGUGGUUGGGGGUUUCUAACAUGUUGCGGCAAUAGCAAUUGGCAGUUGACACUUGCCACUUGGAACUUGGAAGCAAUACUUUCCUCCCAGAGUUGUAGCGGCAAUCACCGGCAACCAAACUAGAGUCCACAGGCGGCAAUUUUUGUGAGCUUAACACCAUCACACCACCAUUACCGGUAGUGAAACCGUGAAGGAGAAAAUUGAAAGUCUUGACCCAAUUGGGCAUGAACAUGUUGAUGUUGUGGAAGAUUAGAUUGUGCACGAUGAUGAGAAUCCUCCAUUACUUGAUGGUUAUGAAGAGGGCGAUAUAUUUAAAGCUUAUGAGACAACAUUUCUAAUAAUGAAAUCACCAUCAAGAAAAAGAGCUAGGACUAAUGAUGGUGAUGAUAAUUUUUCAUUGAGAAAUGGGGAAUCGUGGAGGAAAAUGUAGCCAACACCAGACUUGAAGAUGUAGAUGAAACAUAACCUCUUGAAGAUGAAGAUGAAGAUGAUGUUGAAAUACCACCUGGCUUUGGUUGUUAGUUGGUACCAUUGAGAAAGGAGGCUAGCAUAUAUUUUGAAUUUAGAUUAUUGGAUUAGUACAAUUUGCAUGUUGGACUUGAAGUUUUGAUUUGUGUUUAAUACUUGUUGAACUUGGUUUGUGAUCUUUUUAUUUUUGAGUACCUAAGUAUUGUGUUUGAUGAAUUAGGAAUGCAUGAUGUUAUGGCAAUAUCUAUGGAAUCUUUUGCAAAUUUUCUUCUCUUGUCUUCUUAAUAUUUUUGUACAAGAAGUCCAAAGGAAACUUUGAGAGA